rnacentral:rRNA from 1 species
CUCAGGACGAACGCUGGCGGCGUGCCUAAUACAUGCAGUCGAACGAACUCUGGUAUUGAUUGGUGCUUGCAUCAUGAUUUACAUUUGAGUGAGUGGCGAACUGGUGAGUAACACGUGGGAAACCUGCCCAGAAGCGGGGGAUAACACCUGGAAACAGAUGCUAAUACCGCAUAACAACUUGGACCGCAKGGUCCGAGCUUGAAAGAUGGCUUCGGCUAUCACUUUUGGAUGGUCCCGCGGCGUAUUAGCUAGAUGGUGGGGUAACGGCUCACCAUGGCAAUGAUACGUAGCCGACCUGAGAGGGUAAUCGGCCACAUUGGGACUGAGACACGGCCCAAACUCCUACGGGAGGCAGCAGUAGGGAAUCUUCCACAAUGGACGAAAGUCUGAUGGAGCAACGCCGCGUGAGUGAAGAAGGGUUUCGGCUCGUAAAACUCUGUUGUUAAAGAAGAACAUAUCUGAGAGUAACUGUUCAGGUAUUGACGGUAUUUAACCAGAAAGCCACGGCUAACUACGUGCCAGCAGCCGCGGUAAUACGUAGGUGGCAAGCGUUGUCCGGAUUUAUUGGGCGUAAAGCGAGCGCAGGCGGUUUUUUAAGUCUGAUGUGAAAGCCUUCGGCUCAACCGAAGAAGUGCAUCGGAAACUGGGAAACUUGAGUGCAGAAGAGGACAGUGGAACUCCAUGUGUAGCGGUGAAAUGCGUAGAUAUAUGGAAGAACACCAGUGGCGAAGCGGCUGUCUGGUCUGUAACUGACGCUGAGGCUCGAAAGUAUGGGUAGCAAACAGGAUA